rnacentral:rRNA from 1 species
ACUCAAAGGAAUUGACGGGGGCCCGCACAAGCGGUGGAGCAUGUGGUUUAAUUCGACGCAACGCGAAGAACCUUACCUAGGCUUGACAUGGCCGGGAAAGCCAGGGGAAACCUUGGCCCCUCUUCGGAGUCCGGUCACAGGUGCUGCAUGGCUGUCGUCAGCUCGUGUCGUGAGAUGUUGGGUUAAGUCCCGCAACGAGCGCAACCCUUGUCACUAGUUACCAGCGGGUAAAGCCGGGCACUCUAGUGAGACUGCCGGUGCCAAACCGGAGGAAGGUGGGGAUGACGUCAAGUCAUCAUGGUCCUUACGUCUAGGGCUACACACGUGCUACAAUGGACGGGACAACGGGUUGCCAACCCGCAAGGGGGAGCCAAUCCCACAAAUCCGUCCUCAGUUCGGAUUGUCGUCUGCAACUCGACGGCAUGAAGCUGGAAUCGCUAGUAAUCGCGGAUCAGCUACGCCGCGGUGAAUACGUUCCCGGGCCUUGUACACACCGCCCGU